UACGAGGGGAGCAAGCGUUGUUCGGAAUCACUGGGCGUAAAGCGCGUGUAGGCGGCCCACUAAGUCUGAUGUGAAAGCCCGGGGCUCACCCCCGGAAGUGCAUUGGAAACUGGUGGACUCGAGUCCCGGAGAGGAGAGUGGAAUUCCUGGUGUAGCGGUUAAAUGCGUAGAUAUCAGGAGGAACACCGGUGGCGAAGGCGGCUCUCUGGACGGUGACUGACGCUGAGACGCGAAAGCGUGGGGAGCAAACAGG
rnacentral:rRNA from 1 species